rnacentral:rRNA from 1 species
UUUUUAAUGGCUGCGGUAAUUUGACCGUACAAAGGUAGCAUAGUAAUUAGUCUUUUAAUUGAAGUCUGGAAUGAAUGAUUGGAUGAGAAAUUUACUUUCUUUAUAUUUUUAUUUUAAUUUAAUUUUUAAGUGAAAAAGCUUAAAUUUUUUUUUGGGACGAUAAGACCCUAUAGAUUUUUAUUUUUUUAUUUUUUAUGUAUUUUUAGUUUUUUUAAUAUAUUUAUUUUUAGUUAAAUUUGGUUGGGGUGAUAGUUUAAUUUUUUUUCUCUUUUAUUAUUAUUUUCAUUAAUUUAUGAUUUUUUUGAUCCUUUUUUAUUGAUUAAAAGAUUAAGUUACCUUAGGGAUAACAGCGUAAUUUAUUUGUAGAGUUCUUAUCGAUGAAUAAGUUUGCGACCUCGAUGUUGGAUUAAGAUUAGAGGAGGGUGAAGAUUUUUUUUAUUCUAGGUCUGUUCGACCUUUAAAUUCUUACA